UUGCCUCAUAUUGAAUUUGCUUAUAAUCGUUCAUUGCAUUCUACUACUAAGAUGUGCCCUUUUGAAGUUGUGUAUGGUUUCCUACCUCGUGCACCUAUUGAUUUGUUGCCUCUUCCAUCUUCGGAGAAGGUUAAUUUUGAUGCUAAACAACGUGCUGAAUUGAUUUUAAAAAUGCAUGAGUUAACUAAGAAAAACAUUGAGCGUAUGAAUGCUAAAUAUAAACUUGCUGGAGAUAAGGGUAGAAAACAUGUUGUGUUUGCACCUGGAGAUCUUGUUUGGUUACAUUUGCGUAAGGAUAGAUUUCCUGAUUUGCGCAAAUCAAAGCUAAUGCCACGUGCUGAUGGUCCCUUUAAGGUGUUAGAGAAAAUAAAUGAUAAUGCAUAUAAACUUGAGCUGCCUGCAGAUUUUGGGGUUAGUCCCACUUUUAACAUUGCAGAUUUGAAGCCUUAUUUGGGUGAGGAAGAUGAGUUUCCGUCGAGGACGACUUCAUUUCAAGAAGGGGAGGAUGAUGAGGACAUCAAU
rnacentral:rRNA from 1 species